UAACGCGUACACAACAUACCUUCAGUGGGGGAUAGCAUUGGGAAACUGGUGGUAAUACCCCAUAACAUUGCGAGAUGGCAUUAUUUUGCAAUUAAAGUUCCGGCGCUUGAAGAUUGGUGUGCGUCUGAUUAGCUAGUUGGCGGGGUAACGGCCACCAAGGCGACGAUCAGUAGGGGGUGUGAGAGCAUGACCCCCCACAUGGGUACUGAGACACGGACCCAACUCCUACGGGAGGCAGCAGUAAGGAAUAUUGGACAAUGGGCGGAAGCCUGAUCCAGCCAUGCCGCGUGAAGGAUGAAGGCGCUCAGCGUUGUAAACUUCUUUUGGAUGGGGACAAUAACUUCCAUUUAUGGGAGCUUGAGGGUACCAUCAGAAUAAGCACCGGCUAACUCCGUGCCAGCAGCCGCGGUAAUACGGAGGGUGCAAGCGUUAUCCGGGAAUCACUGGGUUCUACAGGGGUGCGUAAGCUGUAAUAAGUCAGUUGUGAAUUCUCCGGUUUAACCGGAGUUGGACUGGCGGAAUCGGAUCACUUGGGUUAACUUUGGAAUUGGACGGGUCGAAGGGUCAAGCCGCAAAAUGGUGGGCCAUUGUCAACCCGGG
rnacentral:rRNA from 1 species